GAUGCAGCGACGCAGCGUGCGGGAUGACGGCCUUCGGGUUGUAAACCGCUUUCAGCAGGGAAGAAGCGAAAGUGACGGUACCUGCAGAAGAAGUACCGGCUAACUACGUGCCAGCAGCCGCGGUAAUACGUAGGGUACGAGCGUUGUCCGGAAUUAUUGGGCGUAAAGAGCUCGUAGGUGGUUGGUCACGUCUGCUGUGGAAACGCAACGCUUAACGUUGCGCGUGCAGUGGGUACGGGCUGACUAGAGUGCAGUAGGGGAGUCUGGAAUUCCUGGUGUAGCGGUG
rnacentral:rRNA from 1 species